rnacentral:lncRNA from 1 species
UGCCGAGUCGACCCCAGACAACAUAAAAAGUAAAAUCCUGUAGGCGAGACGUCCCUCGUUGUAGCGGAGACGUCCUCGGAGCGCCUGGGACGCGACUGACAGCUUUUCAGGUUUGGUUUGAAUUUCAAAUCCUUCUCUUUUUGUUUCUAACGGCUAUAUUUGCUUUUUGGGCUAUAAAAGGGACCUCUUAAGUGGUUCUCAACAACCCUUUACCAACCAAAAAGCUAGAUCAUUCAAGAGAGAAGUUAGAAAGAAAAGCUCAAGGGAGUGAGUGCAUUCAAGGAAGGAAAUCAAGUAUUUUCAAGUCUCCCAAGUGAUUUCAAGCUCAACCACUCUCGUGCGCUCGGGAUUCGAAGCUCACACUCAACCCUACGCGCUCCACCUCGGAAGAAUCAACAUCUCCCACGUUUCCAAUGGCAAAAGGAUUCUUCCGGGUUACAUUAUUCAUAAUUGUUAUAUUUGCUUCUUAGAGCUUUUAUUUCCUUUUGUAAACUCUUUUA